rnacentral:misc_RNA from 1 species
GAUGAAUAACGUAGCGAAAUGCGAUAAGUAAUGCGAAUUGCAGAAUUUCCGUGAGUCAUCGAAUCUUUGAACGCACAUUGCGCCCACUGGUAUUCCGGUGGGCAUGCCUGUUCGAGCGUCAUUAUCCUCCCUCAAACCCCGGGUUUGGUGUUGGACCGAAGUUGUGUGAACAACUGGUCUAAAAAACAAUGACGGCGUCCGUGGGACCCUCGGUGCAACGAGCUUUUAGGAGCACGCGCCGAGUUGCAAGGACCUUCCGGGCCGGUCUCCUUUUACUAUUUUACAAGGUUGACCUCGGAUCAGGUAGGAAUACCCGCUGAACUUAAGCAUAUCAAUAAGCGGAGGA